rnacentral:pre_miRNA from 12 species
AGAGAAGUUUUGGAGUGCGUGUCAGGUGUGCAUUUGCACUGGGUUUUAUUAGAAGUUUGUAAAUGCACUAUCUGGUACGACACCCCAUUACUGACGAUCUA